rnacentral:rRNA from 1 species
UCCAGACUCCUACGGGAGGCAGCAGUGGGGAAUAUUGCACAAUGGGCGAAAGCCUGAUGCAGCAACGCCGCGUGAAGGAAGAAGGGUUUCGGCUCGUAAACUUCUCUUAACAGGGACGAAAGAAAUGACGGUACCUGAGUAAGAAGCACCGGCUAAAUACGUGCCAGCAGCCGCGGUAAUACGUAUGGUGCAAGCGUUAUCCGGAUUUACUGGGUGUAAAGGGAGCGUAGGCGGCGCGUUAAGUCUGAUGUGAAAACCCGAGGCUCAACCACGGGAGUGCAUUGGAAACUGGCGGGCUGGAGUGCCGGAGAGGUAAGCGGAAUUCCUAGUGUAGCGGUGAAAUGCGUAGAUAUUAGGAGGAACACCAGUGGCGAAGGCGGCUUACUGGACGGCAACUGACGCUGAGGCUCGAAAGCGUGGGGAGCAAACAGGAUUAGAUACCCUCGUAGA